rnacentral:rRNA from 1 species
GAUGAAAGAGGGAGGCGUGCUUAACACAUGCAAGUCGAACGGAAAGGCCCAAGCUUGCUUGGGUACUCGAGUGGCGAACGGGUGAGUAACACGUGGGUGAUCUGCCCUGCACUUCGGGAUAAGCCUGGGAAACUGGGUCUAAUACCGGAUAGGACCACAUUUUGGAUGGUGUGGUGGAAAGUUUUUCGGUGUGGGAUGAGCUCGCGGCCUAUCAGCUUGUUGGUGGGGUAAUGGCCUACCAAGGCGUCGACGGGUAGCCGGCCUGAGAGGGUGUACGGCCACAUUGGGACUGAGAUACGGCCCAGACUCCUACGGGAGGCAGCAGUGGGGAAUAUUGCACAAUGGGCGCAAGCCUGAUGCAGCGACGCCGCGUGGGGGAUGACGGCCUUCGGGUUGUAAACUCCUUUCGCUAGGGACGAAGCGUUAUGUGACGGUACCUGGAGAAGAAGCACCGGCUAACUACGUG